rnacentral:rRNA from 1 species
CAGUCGCCGCGGUAAUACGUAGGGUGCGAGCGUUAAUCGGAAUUACUGGGCGUAAAGCGUGCGCAGGCGGCUAUGCAAGACAGAUGUGAAAUCCCCGGGCUCAACCUGGGAACUGCAUUUGUGACUGCAUGGCUAGAGUACGGUAGAGGGGGAUGAAAUUCCGCGUGUAGCAGUGAAAUGCGUAGAUAUGCGGAGGAACACCGAUGGCGAAGGCAAUCCCCUGGACCUGUACUGACGCUCAUGCACGAAAGCGUGGGGAGCAAACAGGAUUAGAUACCCGAGUAGUCCCUGUCUCUUAUAC